UCCGUAGGUGAACCUGCGGAGGGAUCAUUACAGAGUUGCAAAACUCCCAACCAUUGUGAACCUACCUCACCGUUGCUUCGGCGGGUGGCCCGCUAACCCGGAGCCGCGUCGGACCCUCCUUCGGGGGGGCCGGCAACCCGUCAGAGGACCGAAACUCUUAGUCAUCUUGGCCUCUCUGAGUAACUUAUACAAUAAGUCAAAACUUUCAACAACGGAUCUCUUGGUUCUGGCAUCGAUGAAGAACGCAGCGAAAUGCGAUACGUAAUGUGAAUUGCAGAUUUCAGUGAAUCAUCGAAUCUUUGAACGCACAUUGCGCCCGCCAGUAUUCUGGCGGGCAUGCCUGUUCGAGCGUCAUUUCAACCAUCAAGCGCCUGCGCUUGUGUUGGAGCCCUGCGGCAGCCGCAGACUCCCAAACCCAGUGGCGGGCUCGUCGUCGUACCGAGUGCAGUAAACUUACCACGCUCAGGGCACGCGACGGGUUACCGGCCGUAAAACCCCCCACUUUCUCAAGGUUGACCUCGGAUCAGGUAGGAAUACCGGCUGAACUUAAGGCAUAUCAAUAAGGCGGGAGGGGAAGGUCGGACUGGCCAAGGGCACACAGGGGGGGAUA
rnacentral:rRNA from 1 species